UUCAGAUCACUCACUGUGGGGAAAGCUGGCUGCCGUGAUGUGAGAACACUCAACAAGUCCUAUGGGGAGACCCACAUGGUGAGGAACUGAGGCCACCUGCCAAUGGCAGUGUGAAGGCGCCAUCUUGAAAGUGGACCCUCCAGCCCCAGGCAAGCCUUCACAUAAGACUGCAGCCCCAGCUGAUAUCUUGACUGCCACCUCAUGAAAGACCAUGAACCACAGCCAUCCAACUAUGCUGCUCCAAGUUCCUGACUCACAGAAACUAUGCCAUCUACUCAAAGAGAGGGACCUUAUUGUCUAGUUUGCUUACUGCCGUGUCCCCAGACCCCGGAAUGAUUCUUGCACAUAAGUUUGAUGGAAGCAAGAAACAGAAUCGACUCUUCAGUUUUGAAAUACACAGGAAGACUGGCUUCCGUCUUGUGACACUCUCUUGUUUUCUUGUCUGCUGGCUGCAUCGACACAACGAUCGUGUGUGAGCCACCCUAAAGAGAAUCACACGUGGUGGUGAACUGACAGAGGCCUCCAGCCAAUAGCCAAUGAGGAACUGAGGCCCUCAGUGCCACAGCCCAUGAGGAACCGAUCCUGCCCCCACCACUGAUUUCACUUAGAAGUGGAUCCUGACCCGUUGGAACCUUGAGAUGAGCCCACAGCUGUGGCCGACACCUUGGUUGCAGUCUGUGAGAGGCUGUCAGCCAGAGGACCCGGCUCAGCCACGCCUGGAUUCCUGCCCCACUGAAACUGUUGGGUGUGGACGGAAGAACAAAGGUGCAGAAGGAGGCGGGAAAAGACACAGACGCAAGCUGAGGCGGCCGCGUGAAAUACCACAGGAGUUCAGGAUAUGAAAUCAGGCUAGGGUCUCAGGUUCCUUUCACCCCGCCAUGUGGCCUCGAAGAUGGUGUUCAGCCCUGCUGGGUCCCUGUGUCUUCGUCUCUACCCUAGGCACGGCACACUUUUCCUCUCUACCGUGCAGCGAAGAGUAAAUCCAAAAGCACAUGGAAGGAGACCAUGACAGGGCCUUUGUUAUUUGUGCCAAACGCACCUUCACCGGGUGCCCCCCGCGCCAUGGCCACGGGCCAUGGCGCUGGGCACGAGCCCUACCCUCCGGCGUGGUGGCAGGUCAGCAGGCAGUAUACGUUGUCGCAGGUGCACACAUCGCAGGUGCAACAAGAGAGCAGGACUUUUCCUAGACUGGAGGUCAGAGAAGAAGGUAGGGUGAGAGCAUGUGCAGAGAUGCUGAGGCCAGACAGUGCCUGGAGGGUGCUGAAAUUGAAGGGCCCCCUGUUUGAACGUGCCAGAGGAAGCGAGUGUCCCGGAAUGGCAGGAGCCAGCCCAGGAAGGGUCUCAGGCCAGCUGAGGCCAAUGGACUGAUUCCAGGGCCAUAGGGAGUCAUGAAAGGCAAUCAAUCAAGGGAUGGGGGCAGGCAGGCGUAGCUGAGGGUGCAAGAAACAUCUUAGAACA